rnacentral:rRNA from 1 species
GAGUUUGAUCCUGGCUCAGAACGAACGCUGGCGGCGUGCCUAACACAUGCAAGUCGAACGGAUUUGAGGAGCUUGCUUCUCAAGUUAGUGGCGCACGGGUGAGUAACGCGUAGAUAAUCUGCCUGAUGAUCUGGGAUAACACUUCGAAAGGGGUGCUAAUACCGGAUAAGCCCACGGAGUCUUUGGACUUUGCGGGAAAAGGGGGGGACCUUCGGGCCUUCUGUCAUCAGAUGAGUCUGCGUACCAUUAGCUAGUUGGUAGGGUAAAGGCCUACCAAGGCUACGAUGGUUAGCUGGUCUGAGAGGAUGAUCAGCCACACUGGGACUGAGACACGGUCCAGACUCCUACGGGAGGCAGCAGUGGGGAAUUUUGCGCAAUGGGCGAAAGCCUGACGCAGCAACGCCGCGUGAGUGAUGAAGGCCUUCGGGUCGUAAAGCUCUGUCGAGGGGAAAGAAGUGUAUUAGGGCUAAUAUCCCUGAUACUUGACGGUACCCCUAAAGGAAGCACCGGCUAACUCCAUGCCAGCAGCCGCGGUAAUAC